GAAUUGUGCAGAACCCAGAAAGAAAGACCUGAGCCAGACGAGCCUUAUGAUUCCAACUCAGAUGAAGGCCCUGACUCACACAUAAAGACCAAAAACAAGAGAUCAUCAAAGACUGAGAGAAAUGAAUUGUGCAGAACCCAGAAAGAAAGACCUGAGCCAGACGAGCCUUAUGAUUCCAACUCAGAUGAAGGCCCUGACUCACACAUAAAGACCAAAAACAAGAGAUCAUCAAAGACUAAGAGAAAUGAAUUGUGCAGAACCCAGAAAGAAAGACCUGAGCCAGACGAGCCUUAUGAUUCCAACUCAGAUGAAGGCCCUGACUCACACAUAAAGACCAAAAACAAGAGAUCAUCAAAGACUGAGAGAAAUGAAUUGUGCAGAACCCAGAAAGAAAGACCUGAGCCAGACGAGCCUUAUAAUUCCAACUCAGAUG